UCUGAUUUUUAUAUAUUGGUUGGCAUAAGAGGCUGAUCUUCUCGUAAGUAUUUUAUCAAACACCAGGUGUGCAUAGAGUCAACAACAAAAAAUAUUCAAACUGCAACGUAAAAGAAAAAUUGAAAGGAGUGUUUACAAGAAUGAACGUCAAUGGAAUUUUUAUUUCCUUCGGUAUGCCUCUCUACUUUACAAAAAGCUUUUUGCCCCAGAGAUAAUGGGCUUUACCUCUCAAAGCUUAGGGAGCGAACGUAUUUCUCUU
rnacentral:lncRNA from 1 species